rnacentral:rRNA from 1 species
UACAGAGGGGGGCAAGCGUUAUUCGGAAUUAUUGGGCGUAAAGGGCGCGUAGGCGGCUUUGCAAGUGGCGGGUGAAAUCCCUCGGCUUAACCGAGGAACUGCCUGUCAGACUGGAAGGCUUGAGACCGGGAGAGGUGAGUGGAAUUCCCAGUGUAGCGGUGAAAUGCGUAGAUAUCGCUUGGAACGCCGAAGGUGAAAACAGGUCGCUGGGGAUGUGCCGACGCUGAGACACGAAAGCCAGGGGAGCAAACGGG